GACUGGGUGUAGAUACGGCCUCUCGCCCAGAAGCCAGCUCCGAUUGGCUGAGAUGCUCCGAUGCGCUGUGAGGUCAUCCGUACUGCGACAGAGUCGGCCGUCUAGGGGCAGCCGGCGUCAGGUGUUUGUGCUCUGCGGGCGGUCCUAGGUCUGUCGUGGUCGUGUCGUGGCGGUAAGAGGCCUGCUCACACGGCGCCGCGUUCCCGGAGUUUGGAACCCAGGCUUGGUGUCCCACAAAACCAGAAAUGAGAAGUCUUAGCGAGAUCCCCACUUUACAGUGAGAAAUGGAGCCCUCUGUGGAGUCUCCACAUCAGAAACCGGAGGCUGCGUCGAGCUCUGACUUGUUGCCCCCUGUCAGCCCUCCUGGGUCCUUUCCAGCAUCACAAGACACAGAAGUCCUAGGGCAGCAGGGACACUCUUGGCGCCUCCCACCUGCAUGUCCACCUCAGGCUGUGCCCUCUUCGGCCUCGGCUGGAGUCAAAGUCAAGGAUGACCUUGAAAUUCCGAUCUUCCUGACAGCCCCUCCUGGUGCUGGGAUCACAGGUGUGCACCACUGUGUAAUGUGUCUGGUUUGUGUGUCCUGGGGAAGGGACCCAGAGCUGUGCGCUGGCUGGGCAAGUGCUUGACCCACUGAGUUUCAGCCCACAUUGAUACUUUGACAGUAACAAUGAAGAGAGGUAGAGAAGCCACGUCAGUAGAGAGUGAGAAACAAAACUCAAAGAGCCAAGAGACGAGAAAAGAGAAACAGAAAAGACAGAACCAGUAGAAAACAGAAAGAAAAGAGCCUGACCAACCUCAAGCCAGAGAAACCCCGUCUCUCUGACUCUCCAUGCGUUGUUUUGAGACAGGGUCUUUCACCGAACCAGAAACUCACCAGUUGACUAGACCAGCUGCUUAGGGAGUUACAGGGAUCCUUGUGUCUCCACCUCCCUCCCCAGCACUGGGGUGGCAAGCACCCUCUGCAGGCCUGGUUUCACAAGGUUACUGGAGAUCCAAACUCAGAUUCUCUUGCUCAAGCAGUCUGCUCUUUAUUCACGCAACCGUCUUCCCAGGCCAUCACCUCAAUUUAAAUAAACAAAACAAUGCUGAGUGCAGCCAAAAACAAAAUCUCAGAAACAAUGAAACAAAACCAAACUCCCAAAGGUCUGGAGAGACGCCUCAGCAGUUAAGAGCGCUGACUGCCCUGGACCCAGGCUCAAUCCCCAGCACCUGAAUGGUGGCUCACAACCAUCUGCUCUAGUUCCAGGCAUGCUCGUACUGGGAACCCUAGGGUCUCCAAAGAAGACAGAUGGGACAUGACCAUUCCACUGGAUUGUGGCAAUGCUAACCACUGGGCAAAACUGCCCCAUAUCUCGCCUGCCACCAGGGUCCUGCACAAGCUGUGGACACUGUUGGAUUGAUUGCUCUGCUCUGCCUCGUCACAGUAAUGUGAGUCCCCCAGGUUCCUCCUCCACAGGAAAAUUUCUCAGACCUGGGUCUGGUAGGUAGCCUAAGGCUGAUGCUGUCCUGUAUGACAGCUGAAGACCCAAGUCCGCUGCCCCCAGUGAAGCCAUUGAGCCCAUGGGAGCCUAGGGCAGCUGUCUAGGUAGUAGGUGAUUAACACAUAGGCCAUUUGGAUGGUACUUCCUGCUAUGAUUUAUCCUUCUCAGAUCUCUGAUGAUAUUGACAGCUAACUGGCACUUCAUUAAUUCACCAGCUGCUGCCUGAUCAAUGCAUUUCACAUAUAAAAACCAGGCUUUACUUUUCUAGAACAAUUAGGUCACCUAAUAAAAAAGGCAAACUCACACACAGGUUUGCCUUACUAACAGGCUUCAUAUUAAAGGAUGAACAGGUUUCACAUGUAACUUUUACUAUUUAAAGGAACUUGCUUUGCAAAGACUGCUCUCAGUAAUCAAUAGCUUAUGUAUAUCUAAUGGUAAAUAGUUGGAUAAAAAAGUUUAAGGUUUAUAUAAAUUACAAAGGUCUAAAAAUAAUUUAAAUUAUAAACUUCUGAGGAUAUAAAGUCUAAAUAAGUUAUGACAAAUUACAAACAAUGAUAAUGUAAGCUUCCAGGAAUCGAGAAAGUCAUAAGACUUGAAUCCACCUCUCACAGGUCAAAUGGACUCCAGGUAAAUGCUCCUGUCAACCAUCAGCCUGAGCUGCCUAUUCCUGAGAGGGAAGCUCCAAAUAUAAAGGUUUUCUUUAAUUCUUUACCUUUAAAUUCUGUCGCUGGUCUGUAUCUGUCUUGGCAGAGUGCAAUUUAGCUGGCAGACACCGUCCAGAAAUCAGCUUCCGACUACAAACUUCUCCAAAAGUGAUCUACACCAUCCCAGCCCCAGGUACUUCUAUGAAACUGGAAAUCCCUGGACUGGCUACAAGCUGAUGUGAAGCAGUCCAGUAGCUAUGAUUGCUCCCUGACUCUUCAGCUGGGUCAGCAAGCCAGAUGCUUCUGAUGAAUGCCCCAUUGCCUGAAUCCCCUCCUGGCCUUUGACUAACAUUCCAGCCUUCCUGGGCCUUGACAUUGGUGUCCUAAUUUCAACAGGAAGUAGUUACAGAGGAGAGUACAGCAUCCCUUGUCCUUAAUGAAGGGCUGGAGUAUUAGGUCCAAGGAAAUUCCCUGGCAAAGGGACAAAAUGGCUACUUAAAGUACCUAUUGGCAUACCAAGAGUGUAUUGCCUGAAAAUAUUUGUUCUAGCUGGGCGGUGGUGGCUCAUGCCUUUAAUCCCAGCACUUGGGAGGCAGAGGCAGGUGGAUCUCUGUGAGUUUGAGGCCAGUCUGGUCUACAAAGCAAGUUCCAGGGCAGCCAGAGCUACACAGAGAAACCCUGUCUCAAACAACAACAACAACAAAAAAGUUUCUAUUUAUGAUAACCAAACAGGUAUAAUUUAUGCAUUAUAAAUUUUAUCCCCCUCCCCCCAAAUAAAGACUGCUAGGACCUUAUCGAGGAUUUGACAGGGACAUAUAAGACAAGGGGGAAUGAAUGAACCAGCCUACCUCCAUUUUAGGCUUAAAAGCCAUCUUAUAGUAAAGAAAAACCAGGUUCAUUUCUGUUUAUGAUUAAACCUGUUUCUCAAGGAUUGGGCUGUGCCCCACCUGUAACCUUAUAACUACAAAUUGUUCUGAACUGCUUGUUCCAGGAAUGACAACCAUGUCUUUGUUUCAAAAAGUUGUUAUAACCAUAUUGCAAUCCUACCUUUGUUUCAAAAGGUUCUAUGACCACCUUGUUAUGACCCACCACCUUGCAACCAUGUCUCUGUUUCAGGCGAUCAUUAGGAACAACUUGUUAUGAUGUUCUGCUCCUGGAACCCCGCCUAUUUUGCCUAGCAAAUCCCCCAUUUGGAAACCCCCUACCCUUGAGCUAUAAAAUCCUUGUCUUCCUCACAUCCAUGCUGACCUCUCUAAUCCUGCCUUAGGGGGAGGCAGCCUGUGUAUACGAAUAAAAAAGCUUGUUUUAAUUA